AACGCUGGCGGCGCGCUUAAUACAUGCAAGACGAGCGAGAACCUGGGCCUCGGCCCAGGGGACAGCGGCGAACGGGUGAGUAACACGUGGGUAAUCAACCCCCGACACCGGGAUAGCCCAGGGAAACUUGGAUUAAUACCGGAUGCCCCAUCCGGCUUUCGUGCCGGCUGGAAAAGGGUAGCUUCGGCCUCUGGGCGGGGACGAGCCCGCGGCGGAUUAGCUUGUUGGUAUGGGUAAUGGCCUACCAAGGCGACGAUCCGUAGCUGGUCUGAGAGGACGAUCAGCCACACUGGGACUGAGACACGGCCCAGACUCCUACGGGAGGCAGCAGUAGGGAAUCUUGCGCAAUGGGCGAAAGCCUGACGCAGCGACGCCGCGUGAGGGAAGAAGGCCUUCGGGUUGUAAACCUCUUUCAGGAGGGACGAAGCCACUCGGGUUAAUAGCCUAGAGGGUGACGGUACCUCCAGAAGAAGCCCCGGCUAACUACGUGCCAGCAGCCGCGGUAAAAC
rnacentral:rRNA from 1 species